CGCCUGUUUAUCAAAAACAUCUCUUCUCGUUAGUUUUUGAAGUAUGGCCUGCCCACUGACCUUGAAUGUUGAAGGGCCGCGGUAUUUUGACCGUGCAAAGGUAGCAUAGUCAUUAGUUCUUUAAUUGUGAUCUGGUAUGAAUGGCUUGACGAGGCAUGAGCUGUCUUAAUUUUGAAUUGUUUAUUGAAUUUGGUCUUUGAGUUAAAAUUCUUAGAUGUUUUUAUGGGACGAGAAGACCCUAUAGAGUUUGACAUUUAUUAUGGUCUCUUUCUGUUUGUGAGGGUUCAUUAGGGCUGUCUAAUAUGUUUUGUUGGGGUGAUGGGAGGGAUAUUAUUUAACCCCUCCUUUGUGUUGUUAUAUUUAUUUAUAUUUGCUUGAUCCAUUUAUUUUGAUUGUAAGAUUAAAUUACCUUAGGGAUAACAGCGUAA
rnacentral:rRNA from 1 species